rnacentral:lncRNA from 1 species
ACCACUGGGGACACAUCUGCCUAUAGGUAUUAGCGUGAAUGGAGCAUCCGUGCAGCGCGCGUUACAAAUCUCCGGAUGGGGUGGGGGCGGGGAGGGCGGCAACACAACGCAGUACCAGGUGGAGUGGGUGGGUUGCUAUUUUUUACGAUUUUUCUCUCUACAUUCUCCCUCUGACCCCCCCCUCCAUCCAACUCACCCCCCCUUCUCUUCCCUUUCUUCCCCCCCGCCCCCCCCCCCGACCUAUUGCGAUACCCAGAGCCACAGAGGGGAACGCCAACGUCUCGGCCGGACACUAAGAGUUAAGAUGUGGCGGAGGGGGUGGCGGGGGAGGGGCGGGGAGGAGAAAGUGGCGAGCGGGAGGGAGGCGACGGGGCGCGGGGUGGGGUGGGGGGGACGACAGAUUUCCAGCUUCUACGACGCUCUGCCUAAAUUAAAAAGCAACCAAUCGGAACGGCCGGAAGGGGGGCCGCGCGUCCUGAGCCAGUCAUUCCGGGCCUGCCAAUCACCCAGCGGGUAGCCAAUCAGCGGGGACCCUGGUGCUCGACUUCCUUGUAUUUGGGAAAGUGUGGUGGUGGGUGCGCGCUCGCGGCGGAGGGUAAACAUUCGACAGUCCCCGCUCUGAGAGGGAGGGACAGAGAGCGAACUGUCAGAUCCGAGCGGAGCGGGCGGGCGAGAGAGGGAGGGAGAGGGAAAGAGAGAGGGAGAGCGCGCAAACCAGGGCGCAGAGCGAGCUCCCGCGGCAACUCGGCUCCAGCACGGCCAGCGCCAGCGCCGCCGUCGGUGCACCCUCGGAGCCGUGCAUCCUGCCCACUGGAGUUGGUUGUGUAUCAAGGAUCCCCUAUAUGCACACACACACCUCCACCUCCACCAAUGCACUCUUCUUCCUCCUCCUCCUCCAGACCUCUGCUGGGAAAAAAAUAAAACACCAACCCCAACCUUCAGCAGCAAGGUAACAGAGAAACUCGACCUCGUUUUUCUCCUGUUCAAUUUUUUCCUUGUUAUAUUUGUUUCCUCAUUUCUGCCCAAAGGGAAAGAUGUCGCAUCAGACUGUGACUGUUGCGAGGAGAAUGAAAAAGGACUCUUGUUUCAGAGGCAACCAAGAGCUCGGGCAAUAGCAACUUCAGAGAAAUGCACCAUCGCAAGAAGUUUUCCUAGGAG